rnacentral:rRNA from 1 species
GAUGAACGCUGGCGGCGUGCCUAAUACAUGCAAGUCGAGCGAACAGACGAGGAGCUUGCUCCUCUGACGUUAGCGGCGGACGGGUGAGUAACACGUGGAUACCUACCUAUAAGACUGGGAUAACUUCGGGAAACCGGAGCUAAUACCGGAUAAUAUAUUGAACCGCAUGGUUCAAUAGUGAAAGACGGUUUUGCUGUCACUUAUAGAUGGAUCCGCGCCGCAUUAGCUAGUUGGUAAGGUAACGGCUUACCAAGGCGACGAUGCGUAGCCGACCUGAGAGGGUGAUCGGCCACACUGGAACUGAGACACGGGCCAGACUCCGACGGGAGGCAGCAGUAGGGAAUCUUCCGCAAUGGGCGAAAGCCUGACGGAGCGACGCCGCGUGAGUGAUGAAGGUCUUCGGAUCGUAAAACUCUGUUAUUAGGGAAGAACAAAUGUGUAAGUAACUAUGCACGUCUUGACGGUACCUAAUCAGAAAGCCACGGCUAACUACGUGCCAGCCGCCGCCGUAA